rnacentral:tRNA from 1 species
UCUUUGGUAGUAUAGUGGUUAGUAUACUCGCUUGUCAUCUAAUGAAACGCGAGUGACCGGGGUUCAAUUCCCCGCCAGAGAG